AGCAGCCGCGGUAAUUCCAGCUCCAAUAGCGUAUAUUAAAGUUGUUGCAGUUAAAAAGCUCGUAGUUGAAUUUCGGGAUCAGUAGGUUGGUCAUGCCUCUGGUAUGUACUGGUCUCACUGGUUCCUCCUUCCUGAUGAACCGUAAUGCCAUUAAUUUGGUGUUGCGGGGAAACUGGACUGUUACUUUGAAAAAUUAGAGUGUUUAAAGCAGGCUAACGCUUGAAUACAUUAGCAUGGAAUAAUGAAAUAGGACGAUCGAUCCUAUUUUGUUGGUUUCUAGGAUUGACGUAAUGAUUAAUAGGGAUAGUUGGGGGCAUUAGUAUUC
rnacentral:rRNA from 1 species